rnacentral:rRNA from 1 species
AGAUUAAGUUAUUAAGGGCGCACGGUGGAUGCCUUGGCACUAGAAGCCGAAGAAGGACGUUACUAACGACGAUAUGCUUUGGGUAGCUGUAAGUAAGCGUUGAUCCAGAGAUUUCCGAAUGGGGGAACCCAACAUGAGUUAUGUCAUGUUAUCGACAUGUGAAUUCAUAGCAUGUCAGAAGGCAGACCCGGAGAACUGAAACAUCUUAGUACCCGGAGGAAGAGAAAGAAAAAUCGAUUCCCUGAGUAGCGGCGAGCGAAACGGGAAGAGCCCAAACCAACAAGCUUGCUUGUUGGGGUUGUAGGACACUCUAUACGGAGUUACAAAAGAACAUGUUAGACGAAUCAUCUGGAAAGAUGAAUCAAAGAAGGUAAUAAUCCUGUAGUCGAAAACAUAUUCUCUCUUGAGUGGAUCCUGAGUACGACGGAGCACGUGAAAUUCCGUCGGAAUCUAGGAGGACCAUCUCCUAAGGCUAAAUACUCUCUAGUGACCGAUAGUGAACCAGUACCGUGAGGGAAAGGUGAAAAGUACCCCGGAAGGGGAGUGAAAGAGAACUUGAAACCGUGUGCUUACAAGUAGUCAGAGCCCGUUUAUGGGUGAUGGCGUGCCUUUUGUAGAAUGAACCGGCGAGUUACGAUCUGAUGCAAGGUUAAGCAGCGAAUGUGGAGCCGUAGCGAAAGCGAGUCUGAAUAGGGCGUUGAGUAUUUGGUCGUAGACCCGAAACCAGGUGAUCUACCCUUGGUCAGGUUGAAGUUCAGGUAACACUGAAUGGAGGACCGAACCGACUUACGUUGAAAAGUGAGCGGAUGAACUGAGGGUAGCGGAGAAAUUCCAAUCGAACUUGGAGAUAGCUGGUUCUCUCCGAAAUAGCUUUAGGGCUAGCCUCAAGUGAUGAUUAUUGGAGGUAGAGCACUGUUUGGACGAGGGGCCCCUCUCGGGUUACCGAAUUCAGACAAACUCCGAAUGCCAAUCAAUUUAACUUGGGAGUCAGAACAUGGGUGAUAAGGUCCGUGUUCGAAAGGGAAACAGCCCAGACCACCAGCUAAGGUCCCAAAAUAUAUGUUAAGUGGAAAAGGAUGUGGCGUUGCCCAGACAACUAGGAUGUUGGCUUAGAAGCAGCCAUCAUUUAAAGAGUGCGUAAUAGCUCACUAGUCGAGUGACACUGCGCCGAAAAUGUACCGGGGCUAAACAUAUUACCGAAGCUGUGGAUUGUCCUUCGGACAAUGGUAGGAGAGCGUUCUAAGGGCGUUGAAGCAUGAUCGCAAGGACAUGUGGAGCGCUUAGAAGUGAGAAUGCCGGUGUGAGUAGCGAAAGACGGGUGAGA